rnacentral:rRNA from 1 species
UACGUAGGGGGCUAGCGUUGUCCGGAUUUAUUGGGCGUAAAGAGCGUGUAGGCGGCCAGGUAGGUCUGCUGUGAAAACUCGAGGCUUAACCUCGAGAUGUCGGCGGAAACCAUCUGGCUAGAGUCCGGAAGAGGAGAGUGGAAUUCCCGGUGUAGCGGUGAAAUGCGCAGAUAUCGGGAAGAACACCUAUGGCGAAGGCAGCUCUCUGGGACGGUACUGACGCUGAGACGCGAAAGCGUGGGGAGCGAACAGG